UACAGGGGGGGCAAGCGUUGUUCGGAAUUACUGGGCGUAAAGGGUUUGUAGGUGGCUUGCUUAGUCAUACGUGAAAUCCCUCAGCUUAACUGGGGAACUGCGCCUGAUACUGGUUGGCUUGAGUUUGGGAGAGGGACGCGGAAUUCCAGGUGUAGCGGUGAAAUGCGUAGAUAUCUGGAGGAACACCGGUGGCGAAGGCGGCAUCCUGGACCGGCAUUGACGCUGAGGAGCGAAAGCCAGGGGAGCAAACGGG
rnacentral:rRNA from 1 species